GAUGAACGCUGGCGGCGUGCCUAAUACAUGCAAGUCGAGCGAACGGACGAGAAGCUUGCUUCUCUGAUGUUAGCGGUGGACGGGUGAGUAACACGUGGAUAACCUACCUAUAAGACUGGGAUAACUUCGGGAAACCGUAGCUAAUACCGGAUAAUAUUUUGAACCGCAUGGUUCAAAAGUGAAAGACGGUCUUGCUGUCACUUAUAGAUGGAUCCGCGCUGCAUUAGCUAGUUGGUAAGGUAACGGCUUACCAAGGCAACGAUGCAUAGCCGACCUGAGAGGGUGAUCGGCCACACUGGAACUGAGACACGGUCCAGACUCCUACGGGAGGCAGCAGUAGGGAAUCUUCCGCAAUAGGCGAAAGCCUGACGGAGCAACGCCGCGUGAGUGAUGAAGGUCUUCGGAUCGUAAAACUCUGUUAUUAGGGAAGAACAUAUGUGUAAGUAACUGUGCACAUCUUGACGGUACCUAAUCAGAAAGCCACGGCUAACUACGUG
rnacentral:rRNA from 1 species